CCGGCUCCUAUGCACAUCGGUGCAGGACCCAGGCUUGUUGCUGUCUGGGAUACCGCCCCCACUCUCCCCAAACCCGGAGGCGUAUGCUCUCCCAAGGUCUCCACACCCUCAGCGCAGAGAAUCGGACCCUCAGGAGCAGAGGCAUCCAGAACCGGAGAGACCCAGAUGCGCAAUCCCCAGGCGCCACGCCCGCUAGAUGGCGCUGGGCCCGUUGUGCUCGUCCCACUUGAGGGCACUCCCAGCAGCAGCCCAAGCACCCAGCGCUUCUGGAAAAGGGCGAGAGUGGCAGGUGCCUAUUGAAUUGGACAGUUGGACAGAGGGACAGUUGCCCACCCUCCUCUUGAAAGUCUAGAUGCCUUUAUCCUCAAGGAGACCACAGCCUCAGAGAGAUUAGACACACAGCGGAAAAAGGCAUCCAAGAUGUAAAAACUAAGGCCCACAGUGAUGAUGAAACCAGAGGGAAGCAUCAGCAAAAGGAGGGACGAUCGCCCUCACUGUCAGGCUGCUCCCCCAGGACAGGGCACGGGCCUUUGAAGGAAGCUGCCCUCGCCACUUUGCAAAGUUGUCAGAUCUAUGGGUCUGGCCUCGGAAGACAUGGCAGGCCAGAUAUGAGGUGACUCCCCGUUCCUACCCCAGCCCUGGUGGAGUCAGGGUGCCCAUUCUGUGCUGCGGGCUUGGGACUCCACCAAAAGGAAAGCCUGGCUGCAAUGUGGGAGGAGAGGGGGACUCUGAGAACAGGACUCUCCUUCUUUGUUCUUUUCUCCUCCCUUCCCCUGGAACCAGAGCUUAAGGACCCUUAGGCCAGCCUGGACAGAGGGGAGAGGAAGUGCACAGAAUUGGGGGGAGCCCAAAUGGGACAGGGCAACUCCCCCCAGACCUCCCGAGGGCCCUCCCAGGAUCAACUGUCAGAGGCCGGUUGUCCUAAAGGAAAUCAGUAGUUGCUUUUCCCUCCAACACAUGCAAUUGCUCCUUUCAUCUGACAGGGAGUUGUAAAUGAGAGUUUAUGGGAUUUCUAAUGAUGGUGGUUUCCCUUUAUCAGCCUCCAAUUCCCACUCCUCUACUAGGAUUGACUCUGGAGAAUGUUUUGACCAGGAAUCAAGAAUCUAGCAGACCCCUGCCCUGCUUCAUAGGGAGGGCUGGAGCUUGUCAGAUUGGUAUCUGAAGGCCAUGGGAAGCUCACUACCAUGAAGUCGGAUCUGGGUUCCAGGCUGCCUCCCAGAUGGCGCGCUUCACAUCUCUGGCUUCUGGUUCUUUAGCCAUAAACCUGGGGUAAUAAUGCCUGCUCCACCCACCUACGCCACAGGGCUGCUUCGAGGAUCAAAUGAGAUUAUAGGCCUGAAAGGCCUUGGAAAAAUAUAAAGCAAUCACCCAA